AGAGUUUGAUCCUGGCUCAGGAUGAACGCUGGCGGCGUGCUUAACACAUGCAAGUCGAACGAAGCACUUUAUUACGAUUUCUUCGGAAUGACGAUCUAGUGACUGAGUGGCGGACGGGUGAGUAACGCGUGGGUAACCUGCCUCAUACAGGGGGAUAACAGUUGGAAACGGCUGCUAAUACCGCAUAAGCACACAGCAUCGCAUGAAGCAGUGUGAAAAACUCCGGUGGUAUGAGAUGGACCCGCGUCUGAUUAGCUGGUUGGCGGGGUAACGGCCCACCAAGGCGACGAUCAGUAGCCGGCCUGAGAGGGCGACCGGCCACAUUGGGACUGAGACACGGCCCAAACUCCUACGGGAGGCAGCAGUGGGGAAUAUUGCACAAUGGGGGAAACCCUGAUGCAGCGACGCCGCGUGAGCGAAGAAGUAUUUCGGUAUGUAAAGCUCUAUCAGCAGGGAAGAAGAAAUGACGGUACCUGACUAAGAAGCCCCGGCUAACUACGUGCCAGCAGCCGCGGUAAUACGUAGGGGGCAAGCGUUAUCCGGAUUUACUGGGUGUAAAGGGAGCGUAGGCGGCAUGGCAAGUCUGAUGUGAAAACCCAGGGCUCAACCCUGGGACUGCAUUGGAAACUGUCAAGCUAGAGUGUCGGAGAGGUAAGCGGAAUUCCUAGUGUAGCGGUGAAAUGCGUAGAUAUUAGGAGGAACACCAGUGGCGAAGGCGGCUUACUGGACGAUGACUGACGCUGAGGCUCGAAAGCGUGGGGAGCAAACAGGAUUAGAUACCCUGGUAGUCCACGCCGUAAA
rnacentral:rRNA from 1 species